GCGAAUCUCCAAAAAUUAGUCCCAGUUCAGAUUGCAGGCUGCAACUCGCCUGCAUGAAGUCGGAAUUGCUAGUAAUCGUGGAUCAGCAUGCCACGGUGAAUACGUUCCCGGGCCUUGUACACACCGCCCGUCACACCAUGGGAGUCGGUAACACCCGAAGCCUGUAGUCUAACCGCAAGGAGGACGCAGUCGAAGGUGGGAUUGAUGACUGGGGUGAAGUCGUAACAAGGUACC
rnacentral:rRNA from 1 species